UGGGGAAUAUUGCACAAUGGGGGGAACCCUGAUGCAGCCAUGCCGCGUGUGUGAAGAAGGCCUUAGGGUUGUAAAGCACUUUCAGUUGCGAGGAAAGAUUGGUGGUUAAUACCCAUCAGUUGUGACGUUAACAACAGAAGAAGCACCGGCUAACUCCGUGCCAGCAGCCGCGGUAAUACGGAGGGUGCGAGCGUUAAUCGGAAUUACUGGGCGUAAAGCGCACGCAGGCGGUUACAUAAGCCAGAUGUGAAAGCCCCGGGCUUAACCUGGGACGGUCAUUUGGAACUGUGUAACUAGAGUCUUGGAGAGGGGAGUGGAAUUCCAGGUGUAGCGGUGAAAUGCGUAGAUAUCUGGAGGAACAUCAGUGGCGAAGGCGACUCCCUGGCCAAAGACUGACGCUCAUGUGCGAAAGUGUGGGUAGCGAACAGG
rnacentral:rRNA from 1 species